UCCCUGGUGGCCCAGCAGUUGAGACUCUGCAUUUCCAAUGCAGAGGGUGCAGGUUCAAUCCCUGGCUGGGGAA
rnacentral:tRNA from 1 species